GGGGCGCGCCGGUGGCAGGCGGGAGCCGGGCGGCAGCCGGGCGGUGCUCUCCCGCCGCCUGAGUGGGCGCGGCGCGGGACGGCGGCGCGGGGUGCCGGGAGCCAUGGGCUAUUGCAGCGGCCGGUGCACGCUGGUGGCCGUGUGCGGCGCGCAGCUGGUUUCUGUGCUCGAGAGGCAGAUAUUUGACUUCCUUGGUUAUCAGUGGGCACCCAUCCUCGCAAAUUUUAUACACAUUAUUAUAGUCAUACUUGGCUUAUUUGGAACCAUCCAGUAUAGACCUCGUUACAUAACAGGAUAUGCUGUCUGGCUGGUCCUUUGGGUUACAUGGAAUGUAUUUGUUAUCUGCUUCUAUUUGGAGGCUGGAGACCUUUCAAAGGAAACAGAUCUCAUUCUGACCUUUAACAUCUCAAUGCACCGUUCUUGGUGGAUGGAGAAUGGGCCGGGCUGCACCGUGACCUCAGUAACCCCAGCACCAGACUGGGCACCAGAGGAUCAUCGUUAUAUCACUGUCUCGGGGUGUUUGCUUGAAUAUCAGUACAUAGAAGUGGCUCACAGUUCUCUUCAGAUCUUCCUUGCACUGGCAGGCUUCAUCUAUGCCUGUUAUGUUGUGAAGUGUAUUACCGAAGAAGAGGACAGCUUUGAUUUCAUAGGUGGAUUUGACUCUUACGGCUAUCAAGGUCCACAGAAGACAUCUCAUUUACAGCUACAGCCCAUGUAUAUUGCCAACAGUGUGCUCUAUGCUGUACAAGCCAAGAAGCCUAGACAAUCCCUUCAAAACGAAUACGCUUUUUGAACAGAACGGGACAGAACCGAUGCUCAUGUACCUCCUUGCAGUGUGGCCACAGCUGAUGUACUCAAAAGCAGCUUCCUGGCAUUCUGUGCCGGAGAUGCCAGUGCUCAUUUCCAGACCAUGGGAGAAGGACACAAUAAGAUGGCGGAAAUCAAUUGUCAAGACAAAAUUCUCCUCUUGGGAGGUGACCAAGGAAGGUCAAAGUAAACAUGGGGACUACUCAAGGUGGGCUGGAAGACCUGUCAAAAAAUCUGUUUCAGGAUGGCCUCCUGGUUCUUCAAAGAGAAAAGAAAUCAAAUUUUUGUGCUAAAAAUAAUAUAUAAAAGCUGAUUGAACAGUGAGACAGAAAACAACAGAGACCUUCAGCCUCUCUUUCUAACAGGUACUAAAGGAGAUGUCCCAGACCCCCUUCUUGGACCUCCUGCUUCCCAGCACCAAAGGGACAGAGCAGAAGCAUUGGUGCCACCUUUUGUCCCUUUCUUUCUCCGGCCACCGCCAGCAUGGUUCAUCUGGAUUAACACAUGAACCCAGCCCACUCAGUGCUUUGGGAGCCUCCUCCACACUCCGGGCCGCAUUGAGUCUCCUUAGUCAACACAACACUGAAAUACCAGGAUGACCUUGCAGCAGAAGUCAAUAGACAGCGCAUUGUUUGCCCUGAAGGCUGUACAGUUCAUACUUGCCUUAACCCAACUGCGUUGCACAUUAGAGAAACUACGUGCAAGCUUUCUGAAGUUAACAUGCUGCUGUUAAUUCUGAACAAUUUCUAAGUCAGUGGUUUUCUUCUGUUUGGUUUUGCUUUGUUUUCAUGUCAGGGAAUAAGGCUCUGUUGCUCCAUGGCUCCAGAGCAACCAAGUAGAAAACUGCCAGCUGUCUGAUAAGUGCUUUACUUUUGGGGCUCCACAGUGGUCAAGAAACAGUUUAUAAUGAUUAGAAAGAAAAAUAAAUAAAUAAAUAAAUGAGACCUUUUAGGGGUCAGGGUGGGGAAAGGGGUAACAGAAACUAAUAAUUGAACCUACUGGAAAUAAGCAGCAGAAUCAGUGCUUCUUAAUCCCGCUGGUUUUAUUUAUCGCACUGUAGGUGCUUUUAUAGCUAUCUCUAAACAUCUUUUACUAACUACAGAGACAUCUGCAGAUUUCUAUCAACAAAUGCCAACUGAAUAUGUACUAGCUACGUUUACUCUUUUAUAUCUGAUUUCAACUAAAAAUUCUCUGUAAGUGAGCUUUUUUUUUCUAAGUGCACCAUAAGGGAUCCACAUCUUUUAUUUUUCGAUUUUGGUUGGAGAGGGCGGGGAGGGACUAGUUGAGUUGAAGACAUACUGAAGACCUUUUUGUGGUAUAUUUGAGGGAUCUGUUGUGUGUUAGAACGUGUAUUUUAUCUUCCUGUAUUAUUGUGGCUGAAAAAACCCCCUGUGCUGUUACGUAGUUGGCAACAAGAUGCCUUUGGGAAUUUUGCUAGUAGGUCAAUGUGUAUAUGAAAUACUCUGAACUCCUAGGAACAUAUGUUUUAUUCUACAUCUGAUCUGUAUUUUCAAGAACGUAGAUGGCUUUCACUAGGAAAACCCAAUAUUUUGCUCAGGUUUUUCAGAAACUUGGAUUGUCAUUGUUUCUUUGCUCAGACCUUGCACAGACAAACGCACGCACCUACCACACCUGAGGUGACCACGUAGCUUUUGAGGGCAAGAGGGAAGGUCAGCACUUGGAAAGGCUCAAGGUACCCCUGAGCAACUCCCUUUUCCCUGCUGGCCAAGCCCUUGCUCCAAAGGCCUGUGCACUCACACCACAUACCCAUCCCUGUACAAGCCAGUGCCCUUUGCUGUGUCUGCAUGGAUGUACAGUGUCACAAGCAGCAACUCUGGACAAUGACAGAGGAACAGGCAUUCACCAGUGAAAACAAGAUCCAGGACAUGUUCAGGAGCUAUACUUACAUCAAUUCAGUGAGAUUUAUAUAGAUAUAGAUAUAUAUAUAUGUAAGUGUGUGAAUGUGUGUGUAUGUCUAUAUAUAUAAAAUACACAGGACUAACUAUUGUUGGGAGCUGCAUCACCCAGGAAGAUUCUGAUGCAGUGGACCAAGGGCUCCUGUCUCAGAUACUGCUGGGAAUUUCAGGCAUGAAACAGGCACUUUCCCUAGGCCUGAUCCUGUAAAGCAUUCAUUGCUGAUUUGGAUCUCAAAUUUAAAUUUUCAUACUUGGGUACCUGAAAAUCUGAGUUCCUACUGGAUGGAGCUGCUUUUCACCCCCCUGAAAACCCCAUGCGACUUCUAAGUGCCAGGCUGAAAUUUCCCAUAACUGGAAAAAUUUUAAAAGUUUCUACUUUUAUGUAGUAUUAAAUAUAACAGAUGUAUAGCAUUAAACACAAUGAAGACGUUUAAAUGGGAUGAAAAUGUCAUAACAGGUUAUUUUAUCUUUCCCUUUAUACCAGUUAAUCGAAAUGAUAUUUCUAUAAAAAUCAUUUUUUAACGUGAAAAGAAACCAGUUUAGGCACCUAAGCAGCAAUCCAAUUUUCAGAAGAUAAUUUUUCAUACCUUUCAGUGAUUUCCCAUGGAACAGCGGCUACUGGUAGUUAGCAAUUUUAGAAGUCAGACAAUUUAAUGAAGUGUCUACAUGUAGCUUAUAGGCCUGAUUUUAAUUUAGAAAAUUUUGGCCUUAAUUUCUCUGUGUCUUAGUCUUCCCAUCUAUAAUACGGGAAUAAUAUGUGCCUCACAGGCUUUUUGUGAGGUCUGAAUUGUUAAUGUUUGUAAAAUGCUUAGGAAAUAGGAAGCACAUCUAACUACUACAGAUUGCAAUAUAAAUGUGUAUUCAUAUAUUACAUAUAGAGUAGAUACACACAGUCACAUACACACAGUAUACAUAUAUAUAUACACAUACAUACCUAUAUGAAGUUGGUUUUCAUAACCCUGCUUAAGUUGCAGUUAGAGAACCACCAUUUAAAAAAUUAGGACUGUUGACUACUCAACUAAAUGAUUAGUGGACAGAUCUCUUCUGGAAGCAGUUUAGAGCACAGUAAUGUGAGACUAUCUGGAUGGCAUUUUUGAUUUGUACAGCUGUAUCCUCCUCAAAAUCCAGUAAAGAAUGUUAUUUUUCUAGGCUGGGCUUUUGUUAUAAACUAAAAUAUUCAGAAGGCAAGAGAUACAAUCCAAAUGUGUCUUUUUUUUUCUUUUCUUUUUGACAUUUGUUAAUUCUGAAUGUAUUUUUAACUGAAGUGAUUUUUUUGACUUACUAGUGUAAUUUGCAUUUUAAAAAAAUAAAUGGAAAAAAUAUAGGUUUCCAAGCUAUUCAUGGCCCCCUGCUGCUAUUCAGAAUUUACAGGAAACUCAGAAUUACUAUUCCCAGCUGAGCAACAAUGCAGGAUAAAUAAUCCUAUUACAUUUACAUGAUGACAAUCCCGAUCUGUGCAGUGCAUGGAUGUGACAGCACUGAAUAGAAAUUGCCGGGUCAUGACACCAUUUUAACGCUGUCAUAUGUACCAGGUAUUUUCAUUACCACUGACACUAAAAGGUUUCUUUUACAAGACUGACUGCAACAGACUCUUUACUUAGAAAACAGGGCUGGUUUUGCCCACUCAUCAGGAAUUUUAAGCCUGUGAUAAGUAUAGAGUUGCCAACAGUGUUAAGUAUUGCAAAAGUAAUCCUUGUUAAGAAGGAGCUAUGUAACAUGGAUAUUUGCUCUGCAUUCAUAUUCUUUUAUAUGCUGUUUAUUGUCCCUACACUGAAAUGAUGAAAUCCUGUCUUAGGCAAAAUGUUUAUAGAGAUCACAUAUAUUGACAGUUUGCCUGAGGUCAUUAAAUAAAGGUGGAGCAGAAUUAUGCACAUUUUGAGAUACUCGGUCAUGCUCUCUUAGGAUGAUUCCUUAGGAAGAGAGUUCUUUCAUUAGGAUUUUUUAGGUCUUCAUAAUCAUGCAAGUGAUACUUUUCAGUCAGGUAGGAGAAAUGGUUUGUGCUCCACUUGCUUAAUUUAAGUCCUGUUUACAAUACUCCACUGCUGUACAGCAUUUUGACAUAGUCUGGCACAGUUACGUAUUGAUCCCUGGAUGUCUCCAGAUAGGAAUGGCUAUUAACUCAGCGUCUGAAGGCUUUGGUCACUUGCAUGAUUACCUUCCAUUUGAGCACAUUGAUAGUAGCCAAAGCAAAACUCCAUACACCACGAAUCACUCCAGCUUGUAAUAUUUUCAUUUCCUGUCCUCUGUUUUAUUUUUAAAUGCAAACACUAAGAGGAGGAGGAGUUUUCUCACAAAGAUGGAAAGCCCCAUGAAUAGUCUAUGUGUAUGUAUUGCUUGCUGACUGUCUACUAAUGAGUAGCUGAGAUGAAAUUGAUGGACUUCUUGAGUUUGUUUUCUAGCUGUUCUGAAUCUGGCUUCUUCCCAGUACAUGUGGAUUGACAGCAAACACUAAAGGUAAGCCAGGUUUUAUUGAAGAACCAAUGCACAGCAAUGCUGCAGACAACACCGUGUCCACUGCUCCUUGGAGAAAGAUGAAGACAGUUGUUAUGCUAAUUGGUCUUCUUCAAGCUAUGUGCAAUAUUAAAUGCAAUCACCAUGCAUAAAAGAAACUGCCCUUUAUCCUGCAAUUACUCAUUCACACACACAAGUGGCACAGCACAGAAUCAUUCAGUAAAAGAGAUUUUCUUCCUGUAGUCACCAAUAUGCUUCAUCUCCUGACAUGGCUUGGAGAAAUCAGCUCUGUUUGAUUUCAUGUCCUGACAAAUUCCUCUGUUCAGAUCUUCACCAAGAGAAUCAAUUGCAGCAAGUUAGAUUUGAGACCUUGGCAUAGCUGAGUGGUUAAGGAAGAUAUUGCACCAAAUGUGAAGUUUUAAGAAGCAUCAUAUAUACAUUUGUUGCACAUCUCUCUUCACCUGUACAAAAGAAGGGUCUUUUAAAAUGCACUUUUCCUUUAUAUCUCAAAAACCAAUUGAGUCAGAUUACGUCUUUUACAAGUGUCUUCCAAAUCCUGCCAAGAUCACAAAAGAGAUUUUUAAAUAAAAAAUCCAAUAAAAACACCACCUUUUCUGCUCUCUGUCGAGUAGACAGCUUAGCUCUUGGGACUUCAAAAUGCCUUGAGAUUAUUAUUUUGGAUAGAUAAGUGCACUGUGAAACCUGAGAAUUAAAAAAAAAUAAUGUUUGUGUUCAUGUCUGAUUCAAAAUUAAAUCUAUACAAAAGCUAUAUUUCUGCAUCCACCAGUGGGAAAGGGUCUUUACUGCCAUCUGGCACCUUAUCACUUUCCCAGCUUUGCCUUUGUCCUGCUGGGAAAUAGGUUAUGGGGAGCUUAAGGUGAAGAAGCAUCUUCAUAUUCAGCAUGUGCUCUUCAACAGUCUCCAGUUCUGCCACACAGAAUGGUGUUUCGUACCUAGUUAAUUUCUUUCUCUCUCUUUCACCAUCUUCUUGUCCCAUUGUCACUGUCUCUCUUCCUGAACACAACCCCAAAUACCCUCCCAAAAUUACAUACUUUGUCACAUACAUUGUUUCCAACUCACAUAAAGGUGGUGAUGGCUGUCAUGGAGGACAGUGUCACUGAGGAUGCGUGCAAAACAACAAGAGGAAGCACAAGGGUUACGUACAUCCUCUAAAGAUCCCAGACAGAGAGACAUUUAAGAGAAAGGUAAAGGAUGGCAGCACUACAGAAGCCAUGAGACAUAGCAAGGCCUGGUAGGAAUCAUUUUCACAUGUGCAAUUACAUUUGCUAAAGCUAUAGAUCACUGAGUACACAGAAAUUCAUGAAUACCCAGAGCCACAAAAGGCACAGGUGAAUUAGAAGAAAAUUCAUAAAAAAUGUCUGUGAACACAUUUACUGGAUCAGAUUCACGUUUCAUUUUCUUCAAAAUUGUCUCAGGAGUGUGUUUUUUCCCCUUGCAAACAUUCAGAUAGUUGGUGUCUAUGCACGCAGGUGAAUAUUUUGUUCCUAGAAGAGCAUGUAAGUAUGUGCAAUUGCUUUAAUUUACAUGGGGUUCUCAGUAUUGAUGCAUCUGUGUGCAUUUGUGCUAAAUGUUGGCUCAGUUCACUCAGUCACACAUACACACACCUGUUAUGUGACUAUAUUUAUGGUGGAGAUACAUAACCACACACAGUUUCUCUCCUUUCCUGCUUUUUCCUAUCCCUCCUCUCAAGACAUUCAAAGUCCCAAGUGCCUAUUUUCUAGAAAGGCAUUUGAUACACAAAAAUUAUUAUUUCUGAUAAUUACUGGAUGUACAAGCACUGUGCAAUCCAUGAACAGAGUAAGACAGUCCUUUCUGCAAAGAGUUUAUGUGAUAAAUAAAGUAAGCUAAUGAGAAUAUUUCAAUUAAAGAAAAAAAAAGAAAAAUAUGGUCUCACAUUCUCACACUGCUGUUAAAUUUUAGUUAAUCAAAGAAGUGGAUGACAAAAAAAAUUCAGAAAAAGGAAAGGAGCAGGGAAACAAGAACUUGGAGUACAGUUAAAAGGUGAUAUGGUUAUUUACAGCAUUACAUAUAAGAAUUAAGUAAAAGCAUCAGCCAAUUAUAUGUUAUUAGGGUAUCCAAUUAAUCUACAAUAGCUCCAUAUAGAUAUAUUAUAUCCUAUCUUAUAUUUUAAAGGCAUUUAAAGCAGUAGCUAUGGAAGAAGAACAACAUCAAAGGGACUGCAUAUUGAUGUAAUCACAAAAGGUUGAUGGAUUGAUUCAAUUAAUCAGUGACUCAUUUCUAAGAGUUCUGCAGGGAUUUAUUUACCAAAUACUUUCAUUGUUUAUUUUGCUCUCUGGAGGGUUUGUAUAUUGUCAUUUUUCUUCAUCAUUCUUCUUGUUUCACUCCUCAAUUUCUGAUAAAUGUUUUCAUGCUGAUACGUGGCAUGUUAGGCAUGUAAAUUGUCCACAUUUACUGAUUUAAAGCAGUACACUCCAAACUUUCAGUAGCUGAGAACUUUUGUUUAUUUCCCUCAGGUCCUGAGAAACACUAGCCAUCUAUAAUUAAUAUAAAGAUGUGUUUUCCAUUUAAUCUUUGCUUUCAGUGUCUGCUCAACAUGACAAAGAUGUAAGUUCUUGUCUAGCAUAACCUGCUUAAACUUUAGACAGAAACUUACUAUGAAAAACAUUUUGAACACUGUUGAUGCUAAAUAGAUUAACUGUUCUUCCUUCUUUGGUUUUUCCUUAUAUUUUGUAGUUAAAAUCCAGGAAAAUAAUGCAAGAAUGUUUUAAGAAGGUCAGCAGUUUCACCAUGUUUUCUGUAGGUUUAGACAAGUUUUUACAAGGGCAAGUAGUGAUAGGACAAGGGGGAAUGGCUUUAAAACUCAAAGAGGGCAGUUUAGAUAAGAUAUUGGGAAGAAAUGCUUUCCUUUGAGGGUGGUGAGGCACUGGAACAAGUUGUCUGGAGAAGUGAUGGAUUCCUUAUUCCUGGAAGUGUUCAAGACCAGGUUGGAUGUUGAGUGAAUUGACACAUACAGGUAACCAAAGGCAACCAUCAAACCACAGCCAAAAUGCAAAGAGUGCAUUUAUUUCAUUACCUUGCUAACAACACUGGGCAGCAGAGACACACAGGGACACAGGCUCCAUCCUGCUUAGUUCAUCCCAGCAGGUAGCUGCAGUCUGGUCUGGUGGAAGGUCUCCCUAUCCAUGGCAGGGGUUUUGGAACUAGAUGAUCUUUAAGGUCCCUUGCAACUUAAACCAUUCCAUGAUUCUAUGAUUUUCUAUUUUAAUACUGUCACAGUGUGUUCUUCAAAGUCACUACAAAGAAAUGGCCAAAUUAGGUCCAGUCACAGAUUACAAAAUGGCAAACACUGGGCACAACAGAGAUCUGUGAAAGAUGAAGUACUGAAACCAAAAGGAAACCAUUCUUUGAAAGUGCUGGGUCUCAUUUGGGCAAAUAUUUUUAUUUUAAACUAUCAGGAACACUGAACCUCUAAAUAACUUUUUUUUAAUAAACAGAUUCAUUGCAUACAUACAUGCAGCAUGGGUGUGAUUUUCAGGCAUCUUCAGCAGUGGUCAAAUUCUUACUUCACUUUUAGGUGGUUAGUAGUGACUUCUCAGGAAAAGUAAAAGAUCACAGACCCAGUGACAAGAGCUCUGGCAGCCUGCAUCAUGUGACAGCCUUCCCUAGUGGAUUUAGAAAACUCCACCCUACCUAUUAAACCUAUUAUAACAGAAAGAUGGAGACAGCUCUCAGUGAUACCCAGUGACACACACUGAAACACAGGAGGCUCCCUCUGAAUAUCAGGAAACACUUUUGUACUGUCAGUCACCGAACACUGGCACAGAUUGCCCAGGGAGGUUAUGGGGUCUACAUCCUUGGAGACAGUCAAACCUUGACUGGACAUGGUCCUGGGCAGCAUUCUGUAGGUGGCCCUGCAUGAGUAGUGUUGUUGGACUCAAUGAUUACCAGAUGCACCUUCCAGCCCCAACCAUUCUCUGAUUCUGUGAUUCGCCUCUCAUUCAAGCUACAUUUUUUUUCCCUACUGGGAAUACUCCUAUCUCAAGAGAAUGCAGAAUUCUUUCUUGUUGGUCCAAGGGAGUCUCAGAGUUAGCCUUUGGAAUGAAAAUAAGAGGUCUGCGUAAUGAGAGAGAAAAAAGGCCCAUCAGUUUCUAAAAUGUAUUGGUUAUUAUUUUUCCCUUAUUUGAAUCUCCUAUAGUUGGCUGCCUGGAUGAAAUCCCAGCUCCAUUAAGGCCAGUGGGAAUCUUGCUGUUUGUUUCAAGGAGAUUUCAAGAUCUCAUACUUUGCAAUUAAGAUGCCUGAAUAUUUGCUUUGCUUGAAAAAAAACCCCACAGCCAUUAUCGUCAAUAAUUUUUAAAUGCUCUACAAAAAUUGAUAUUUUUUUUCCUUUUUCACGCUCAGCAUUUGCGAAAUACAUGGUUUGGUGAUAUAAAAAUUUUAUCUGUACUCCUCUGUGCUGACCCAUAUAACUUGCUCAUUGCCACAUUUGUGCCAGUAAAAUCUUUCUAUCAUUCCCA